AUUGAACGCUGGCGGCAUGCUUUACACAUGCAAGUCGAACGGUAACAGGUUAAGCUGACGAGUGGCGAACGGGUGAGUAAUGCAUCGGAACGUGCCCGAUCGUGGGGGGUAACGCAGCGAAAGCUGCGCUAAUACCGCAUACGAUCUGAGGAUGAAAGCGGGGGACCGUAAGGCCUCGCGCGAUCGGAGCGGCCGAUGUCAGAUUAGGUAGUUGGUGGGGUAAAGGCCCACCAAGCCGACGAUCUGUAGCUGGUCUGAGAGGACGACCAGCCACACUGGGACUGAGGCACGGCCCAGACUCCUACGGGAGGCAGCAGUGGGGAAUUUUGGACAAUGGGCGAAAGCCUGAUCCAGCAAUGCCGCGUGCAGGAAGAAGGCCUUCGGGUUGUAAACUGCUUUUGUACGGAGCGAAAAGGUCCUUUCUAAUACAAGGGGCUCAUGACGGUACCGUAAGAAUAAGCACCGGCUAACUACGUGCCAGCAGCCGCAGUAAUAC
rnacentral:rRNA from 1 species